rnacentral:ribozyme from 1 species
AGAUUACCGAUGAGCACUCUAUCAGGGGGAUGGCUAAUGCGGGUUUCAUUGGCAAGAGGGUUAUUUGUCCAACCAGAGUUGUUGUU